GACGAACGCUGGCGGCGUGCUUAACACAUGCAAGUCGAACGGAAAGGCCUUUUCGGAGGUACUCGAGUGGCGAACGGGUGAGUAACACGUGGGUGAUCUGCCCUGCACUCUGGGAUAAGCCUGGGAAACUGGGUCUAAUACCUGAUAGGACCGCACUCUAGCUUGUGUGGUGGAAAGUUUUUUCGGUGUAGGAUGAGCCCGCGGCCUAUCAGCUUGUUGGUGGGGUAAUGGUCUACCAAGGCGGCGACGGGUAGCCGGACUGGGAGGUUGGUCGGCCACAUUGGGACUGGGAUACGGCCCAGACUCCUACGGGGGGGAGCAGGGGGGAAUAUUGAAAAAUGGGCGGGAGCCUGAUGCAGGGACGGCGCGGGGGGGAUGACGGGCUUCGGGUUGGAAACUCCUUUCGCCAGGGACGAAGCGUUUUGUGACGGUAACUGGAGAAGAAGCACCGGCUAACUACGUG
rnacentral:rRNA from 1 species